AGCAGCCGCGGUAAUUCCAGCUCCAAUAGCGUAUAUUAAAGUUGUUGCAGUUAAAAAGCUCGUAGUUGAAUUUCGGGGUUCUUCCGUUGGUCGGGCUAUCCAGUCUGUACUAGCGUGUAGAAUUCCUACCUUCUGGGGAACCAUCAUGUUAUUAAUUUAGCGUGGUGGGAAACCAGAACCUUUACCUUGAAAAAUUAGAGUGUUCAAAGCAGGCUUACGUCUGGAUACAUUAGCAUGGAAUAAUAGAAUAGGACGGUGGUCCUGUUUUGUUGGUUUCUGAAUCACCGUAAUGAUUAAUAGGGAUAGUUGGGGGCAUUAGUAUUCAAUUGUCAGAGGUGAAAUUCUUGGAUUUAUUGAAGACUAACUUCUGCGAAAGCAUUUGCCAAGGAUGUUUUCAUUAAUCAAGAACGAAAGUUAGGGGAUCGAAGACGAUCAGAUACCGUCGUAGUCUUAACCAUAAACUAUGCCGACUAGGGAUCGGACGAUGUUAAAUUUUAUUGACUCGUUCGGCGCCUUACGG
rnacentral:rRNA from 1 species